rnacentral:rRNA from 1 species
UACCGCUUGGCCAUGCCGCCAAAAAAUCCGAUCAAAAAUCUAGAAAACAGCAAGUAUUCAUCCACGUUUUCUUACGAAAAGCCCCUUUCUUUUAUUUUGAAUAUAAUUCUACUUACUUUUUUCCAAUCUUUUUCAAAAAAUCUAUUCCUGCUUUUUUUGAUCCAGUUUCUAUUAUUCUCCUCGAUAGAUUCUAUCUUAAAACAUACAUUGUUAACACAAUAAAACUUCCCAUUUCUUUCUAUUGAGAUGAAAAAGAAGAAAAAAUGGAUUUCUAUUCACAGGCUGCAAAAUUCAGAACAAAUUGGAACCGUUAACUAGAAUUCUCUUUUUUUUAUUGCAGUAGUGAACUACUCUUAAAUCGGUAUUAUCUCCCCCCCCCUUCAAUGGCAUAAUAAAAUAUUAUGGCUUUAUGCUUAAUCCGUGUAUAGGUAAACUUUAGGUCCGAACAGCAUUAUUAUCCAAAGAUCCCCUUUAUGUACAUAUCUCUAUGGGGAAUCAUGCUUUAAUUUUUCAAAGUAUUAAAUUAAAUAUCUUGAAUAAAAAAAGGAAAUUUGCUCUGAUAUAGAGUAUAACCUGACUAUCUUGGCCUACCCAAGUGAAAUUACGAUAAAAGAAAAGCAUGGAUAUGGGGAGAGGUGGAUAACUAGAUUGGCAUGUACUUAAAAAAGGGACUUACUUUAUUUUAGAAUUCCACAAUGAAAUACUGAAUUUUCUAGCAAUUAUACUACUCCUAAGUGAAUAUAUAACCCACGGAAAAGUGAGCUAAUCCAACCAAUCUUGCUUGCACAAUGGAAAGAGCCACGGGCUUAUCUCUCCAGCGAAUUAAAUUAGCUAAAGGUGUGCGUUCAUGAGCCCAUGCUAAAGUCUCAAUUAAUUCCUGCCAAUACCCCCGCCAGGAAAUUAAGAACAUAAAUCCAG